GUAAGGAUUUGAAAGGGAAUACCGGGUGGGGAAGGGCGGCCCCCCUGGACAGAUAGUGACAUUCAGAUGCGAAAGCGUGGGAGCAAACAGGGAUUAGAUACCCUGGUAGUCCCACGCCGUAAACGAUGUUUACUUGGAGGUUGUGGGCCUUGAGCCGUGGCUUUCGGGAGCUAACGCGUUAAGUAGACCGCCUGGGGGAGUACGGUCGCAAGAUUAAAACUCAAAUGAAUUGACGGGGGCCCGCACAAGCGGUGGAGCAUGUGGUUUAAUUCGAUGCAACGCGAAGAACCUUACCUACUCUUGACAUCCAGAGAACUUUCCAGAGAUGGAUUGGUGCCUUCGGGAACUCUGAGACAGGUGCUGCAUGGCUGUCGUCAGCUCGUGUUGUGAAAUGUUGGGUUAAGUCCCGCAACGAGCGCAACCCUUAUCCUUGUUUGCCAGCGAGUAAUGUCGGGAACUCCAGGGAGACUGCCGGUGAUAAACCGGAGGAAGGUGGGGACGACGUCAAGUCAUCAUGGCCCUUACGAGUAGGGCUACACACGUGCUACAAUGGCGCAUACAGAGGGCGGCCAACUUGCGAAAGUGAGUGAAUCCCAAAAAGUGCGUCGUAGUCCGGAUUGGAGUCUGCAACUCGACUCCAUGAAGUCGGAAUCGCUAGUAAU
rnacentral:rRNA from 1 species